rnacentral:rRNA from 1 species
GAUGAACGCUGGCGGCGUGCCUAAUACAUGCAAGUCGAGCGAACGGACGAGAAGCUUGCUUCUCUGAUGUUAGCGGCGGACGGGUGAGUAACACGUGGAUAACCUACCUAUAAGACUGGGAUAACUUCGGGAAACCGGAGCUAAUACCGGAUAAUAUUUUGAACCGCAUGGUUCAAAAGUGAAAGACGGUCUUGCUGUCACUUAUAGAUGGAUCCGCGCUGCAUUAGCUAGUUGGUAAGGUAACGGCUCACCAAGGCAACGAUGCAUAGCCGACCUGAGAGGGUGAUCGGCCACACUGGAACUGAGACCCGGUCCAGACUCCUACGGGAGGCAGCAGUAGGGAAUCUUCGGCAAUGGGCGAAAGCCUGACGGAGCAACGCCGCGUGAGUGAUGAAGGUCUUCGGAUCGUAAAACUCUGUUAUUAGGGAAGAACAAAUGUGUAAGUAACUGUGCACAUCUUGACGGUACCUAAUCAGAAAGCCACGGCUAACUACGUG